GCUAUGAUGACUUAUGGCAGUGAUCUGUUUGAACUGAUAUAGCCUACGAUUGUCCUCUAAGAAGUUCUGAGCUU